rnacentral:tRNA from 1 species
GGCCGUGUGCCCGAGUGGUUGAGGGGCCAGACUGCAAAUCUGGUUACGCGGGUUCGAUUCCCGCCACGGCCUCCA